rnacentral:lncRNA from 1 species
ACUGACUCGGCUGAGCUGACUGAGGAGGCAGAUGUCCCCUUCCUUCCUCACUGCUCUCUCUGCGCACCCUGCCCCCCAACCCCCUGGAGCUGCACACAUGGAGACACUGGCAAACAAACAGGAAGGGAAGCCAUGAUCUGGAGCAAAAUUGUCUAGGGUAAGAGGGUAGCCGGGAAUUGGGACUAAGAACUAGGAAACUCUAACGUUGAGGGGCCAAGUGGUGAGGGCUGAGCCUA